rnacentral:tRNA from 1 species
GCGGGCGUGGCGAAACUGGUAACCGCGAUAGGUUUAGGACCUAUUGGCUCAAAAGCCUUGGAGGUUCGAGUCCUCCCGUCCGCACCA